AACACAUGCAAGUCGAGCGGUAAGGCUCUUUCGGGAGUACACGAGCGGCGAACGGGUGAGUAACACGUGAGCAAUCUGCCCUUCACUUCGGGAUAACUCCGGGAAACCGGUGCUAAUACCGAAUACGACCACUUCAGGCAUCUGAUGGUGGUGGAAAGUUCCGGCGGUGAAGGAUGAGCUCGCGGCCUAUCAGCUUGUUGGUGGGGUAACGGCCCACCAAGGCAACGACGGGUAGCCGGCCUGAGAGGGUGACCGGCCACACUGGGACUGAGACACGGCCCAGACUCCUACGGGAGGCAGCAGUGGGGAAUAUUGGACAAUGGGCGAAAGCCUGAUCCAGCAACGCCGCGUGAGGGAUGACUGCCUUCGGGUUGUAAACCUUUUUCAGCAGGGACGAAGCGCAAGUGACGGUACCUGCAGAAGAAGCACCGGCCAACUACGUGCCAGCAGCCGCGGUAAUACGUAGGGUGCGAGCGUUGUCCGGAAUUAUUGGGCGUAAAGGGCUCGUAGGCGGUCUGUCGCGUCGGGAGUGAAAACUCAGGGCUUAACCCUGAGCCUGCUUCCGAUACGGGCAGACUAGAGGUAUGCAGGGGAGAACGGAAUUCCUGGUGUAGCGGUGGAAUGCGCAGAUAUCAGGAGGAACACCGGUGGCGAAGGCGGUUCUCUGGGCAUUACCUGACGCUGAGGAGCGAAAGUGUGGGGAGCGAACAGGAUUAGAUACCCUGGUAGUCCACACCGUAAACGUUGGGCGCUAGGUGUGGGACUCAUUCCACGAGUUCCGUGCCGCAGCUAACGCAUUAAGCGCCCCGCCUGGGGAGUACGGCCGCAGGGCUAAACUC
rnacentral:rRNA from 1 species